GAUGAGUCCGACUGUUCAUCCAGGGUGGAAGGGAAUAUGGGAAAGUAGGCAAUAUUCUCUAGCACGAGUUGUGAGAGUGACUGCAUUGAAGUAGAUUGCGACAUGGUAGUACGGAGUAUUGGAGUUUUCCUUUCAAUUAUAGGGUUGGCGGCAGCCUCGCUGAUGACAAAGAUUUCGGUCAAAGAUUUACAAAGAUUUAUCUGAUAUUUCACAUAGGAGAAGAUAGCGCCCAAGAGAUUAACAAUCUGAACACUAAGCGUCCGACAUAUUUAUGAAUGGUAAUUGUAGUAAUAGUAAUAUUUGUGAUAAUUUUUAUGCUUCUAAUUGCCAAAAUUAUAAUGUGCUAAAUGCACAUUAAUCUGGCGAUACAAUUUCCAAAUAUCAAGAAAUAGAUUGAGAUUAAUAUUAAUGUAUGAGGAUAGAAAUAUUACAUUUAUGAGGGGAGAAAUGUCAUCUAUGAGGGAAGAAAUGUCAUCUAUGAGGGAAGAAAUGACAUCUUUGAAGGAGCUUCAUGCGUUCCAUGAGGUUAAGAUCAUCGGAGUUGCCGCUCUCGGCGUCAUAACCUAAGAGACUGUAUGCUCCAAAUACAAGAGACAGUAGCAGUAAAAAAUUAUAAUGUGCUAAAUGCACAUUAAUCUGGCGAUACAAUUUCCAAAUAUCAAGAAAUAGAUUGAGAUUAAUAUUAAUGUAUGAGGAUAGAAAUAUUACAUUUAUGAGGGGAGAAAUGUCAUCUAUGAGGGAAGAAAUGUCAUCUAUGAGGGAAGAAAUGUCAUCUAUGAGGGAAGAAAUGACAUCUUUGAAGGAGCUUCAUGCGUUCCAUGAGGUUAAGAUCAUCGGAGUUGCCGCUCUCGGCGUCAUAACCUAAGAGACUGUAUGCUCCAAAUACAAGAGACAGUAGCAGUAAAAAAUUAUAAUGUGCUAAAUGCACAUUAAUCUGGCGAUACAAUUUCCAAAUAUCAAGAAAUAGAUUGAGAUUAAUAUUAAUGUAUGAGGAUAGAAAUAUUACAUUUAUGAGGGGAGAAAUGUCAUCUAUGAGGGAAGAAAUGUCAUCUAUGAGGGAAGAAAUGUCAUCUAUGAGGGAAGAAAUGACAUCUUUGAAGGAGCUUCAUGCGUUCCAUGAGGUUAAGAUCAUCGGAGUUGCCGCUCUCGGCGUCAUAACCUAAGAGACUGUAUGCUCCAAAUACAAGAGACAGUAGCAGUAAAAAAUUAUAAUGUGCUAAAUGCACAUUAAUCUGGCGAUACAAUUUCCAAAUAUCAAGAAAUAGAUUGAGAUUAAUAUUAAUGUAUGAGGAUAGAAAUAUUACAUUUAUGAGGGGAGAAAUGUCAUCUAUGAGGGAAGAAAUGUCAUCUAUGAGGGAAGAAAUGUCAUCUAUGAGGGAAGAAAUGACAUCUUUGAAGGAGCUUCAUGCGUUCCAUGAGGUUAAGAUCAUCGGAGUUGCCGCUCUCGGCGUACUUCCAUGUAAAUUUUACCAUAGGCUCCAAACAUUGUGGAGAUGAAACUGCAGCUUGUUUAGACGUUAGGUUCACCCAUUCUUCCUUCCUCAAUUGAU